AGGCCCAAUCAUGCAUGGUUGUUCCCUUCCUUGUCCUCAAGCCAACCUCUGCCUUCCCUGCCGUCCGAAAGGCUAACCUUAAUUAACUUGUUCAAACUCCUAAACAAUGAUGGUAGGGUUCAGUGCAUGAAGGUAACUUGCUGUAUCUUCUUUGUUGGGUAUAGGUGCAACAGAAGAAAACGGGUAACGUUCUUCAGAAUUGAUUAGGAUGGUUACGGGGUUUGGUUGCAGAGUGAGAGGACAUGAACGGGAGGUGUUUCCAAUUG
rnacentral:lncRNA from 1 species